GACCUCUUCAGGUGCACCCCAUCACUGUGUCUACUCCAAUACCAGCAGAAACCACCGACAGGCAGCAGCAGCAGCAGCAGCAGCAGCAGCAGCAGCCUGAAUUCAGCCAAGAUCGAAGUCUCCGGAUGUUGCUAGAUCAGCCUGUGCAGCCGUUGAUGUCCAGCGCAAAUGGGAACAGCCAAUCUUCACAAAGCAGUGCUGGCAGACAGCAAGCCAAAUUUCCUCAAGAGCAACAGGGACUGCCUCCUGCGAUCCAGAUGCAGCCAAUCACAUGCACUGCCAUUCGGACUUCUGCCCCAGCCCCUGUGUUCACCCCCUCAGUGAUGAUUCCACACACCAACGUUACUGCACAGCAGAGCCAUCUCCCCGGCACCCUCCACCAGUGGCAGCCACAGCAAGUUCAACAACAUCACCUCUAUCUUCAGAUGCAAGGUGCUACUGAGCCGGUCCAGGCAGGCCAAAACCAGCACAUGUUCCAACCCUCCCACCUGCCACAGCAGAAUGCCACUAUAGGCUAUUUCCACCACCCACAGCCACAAAACCACCAUCUUCAGGGCCAGCCUUGUGGUUUGCAAGAUCUGCCCGAAAUGCAAAUGCCUUGAGGCUGGGGGCUGGAAAGACGGUGGUGGCGGUCGCACACUCAGGAGCAGCACUCGUGGCGCUGAGCAGAGGGUGUCGGAACAGAGGCAGAGUGCGGAAGAGCAGGUGCCUUCUCUGUACACCUGGAGAGUGAGGCUCACACAAAAGGGACGUGGCCAAGGCAGACAAUGGGCCCGGCAGGAACCGAGCGCAGGAGUGGGCGUUCUUGCUCAGCUAGAGUUCCAAGUGUGUUUGGUGUUUUAAAAACGGAAAAAACAAGGCUAGCAGCAUUUCUGCAGCAAAACAGGACCAAAGUGAAGUCUGCUGUAAUUAACUGUUUAAAUUGCAUGCAGCUAGAACAUGGGUGUUAUACAUCCUGUACAUGGAGAGUGAGAGAGGAAGGUUUUUUUUUUUUAAAAAGAAUAGUAAAUGGAGGCAGACACGAAGUUGUCUAUAGAAGCUCUUGUCUGCCAAGACAGGGUCACGGGCAGAGUUUAUUCUCUGCUCCCUAAGCAAAAAAACACCCCAAACCCAAAUGUGUUUGCCCAAAUGGGGAAAAUAACUGCAGGAGAGAAGAAUCUUUAAUAUGGCUCCUUGCAUAAAGCCAAAUAUAUACAGGUUAUAUAUUUAUAAAUACUAUGGUAGGUGGACUUCUAGCUGGUGGGUGUUAUUUUAUUAAGUCAGGGUUACACGCUGGUGCAGUGAGAGAGGAGAGCGCCUGGCCACGCAAGAGGCUGCUGUGCUGCGCCUUUAAAAAAAAAUGGCUGCAAUUCACUGUGAAGCCCUGGGAACACGGAAAUUGUACACCAUCAGCAGGCAACUAUUUUUAAAAAAUUCUGUUUAGUGUAUGGGUUUAUUUAAAAAAACCCAGACAGCUCAUUUGGGUACACCGUUCACACAUGGAUCCUGCAGAAAAUUUCCAUUACUGGAAAGAGUGCAGAAUUUCCACCCAUUGCCUCUCCUGCUUCAGACCCCAAUUCUUCCCCCCAUGCUGUUUCUAGGAAGGUGGGGGGGUGUCCAGUGGCCCUUUCAGAAGCAGCAUUUUAGGGAUUGUGUUUGGCUGUAGCAGUGAGGGAGGGGGGAAGUCCUGCUGGCAAUAAAAAUGCCUUCUGUUAGCGGAAAUCACCCAGAGGAUCCAAGCCUCUUUUCCCCAUACCGCUUCCACAGGAUUUUUCCUAUACCUCAAUACCGUCCUUUGUUUCCGGCAACUGGGAUAAUGCUGCUACUGUGUAUGACACCAUUUUUGCCUGAAUUUCUUACUCUUUCUUUCACCAGCUCCUUUCACUGUUAGCAUUUUGACACGUACUAAGGUUCUCUCCUGUUCCGUUACAAAAGCGCAGGUAAAAAUCUGUUUCUACUCCCCGUUUUAGCCAAAUAUAUUUUUUCACAGGGCAGAGGAGCAGAAUCUUUUUAUUCCUCCCCACACCCUCCCCAACAUACCUUUCUGUAGGGAGGUUAUCUAUCUUGACACCCAAAGACAAAAGGCAAACUUUGUGGUUUUGCUACUUUGUGGUAGAAUUGGGCAAAAAGUGGACAUUCCAACUCUGGUGAUGUUGCAGAAAAGUCAGUAGUGUUAGCAAUAAAUUGUAUUUUUGUAAUUUUGUCACUUUAACUGUGUUUAUAUUUAUGAACGUUUUAAAAGAAGUGUAUUCCUCAGUGGGUGUGUAUACCAAAGCGUCCCCUACUGUUUUGUGUGUUUCCAAAGGAAAAUAAUACUUAUAAAUGUUAGGGGCAUUUUGUUUUUGUUUUUAAAUGUGUCCGUGUGGGACUUGCACAUUUUAAGAUACCAGGCUCAGAAGGCAACGCGCAUCAGUAUUUCUUUAAAAAGAAAAGAGCAAAGUUGCAUCAAAGGCCUGACUGAUUUACAGAAAUUACUACAUAGUUUUCUAGUUGUUAGGAAAAAGAGAUGGUUUAGAAACCCUGUCUGCGGUUUCUCUCUGGCUCCCAGGUGAUAAAUAUUCAAGGGCAGAAGAUGAAUGGAAGGCACAGCUACAAUCAUUCAAAUGCUUUUUAGGUGCAGACAACUCUCAGGUGGUAGAAGAUCAGUCACUGUGUAUGAGGGCCUGCUUCUCCCCCUUAUUUGCCAGAAUUUUCUGAACUACUGAUGCAAUUGCAUGUAGUAUAUUUUAGUAUGCAAUCAAAUUUCCACAGCUGCUUAGAAGGGAAGUGACUGCGGCUCCUUAGUGGUGAAGCAGAAUGUCCCAGGUUCCCCCCCUGGAAUGUCCAGUUCUCUGAUAGCAGAUGCUGGUAAAGUCCUUCCUCUGCCUGAGACCCUUGAUAGCUGCUGCCGAUCAGAGUAGGCAAUAGUGAACUGAAUGGCCUGGCUGCCAACCGUACCCUAGAGAUAGAGGGGAGCUACCCUUCCUCUUUGUUUCCCAAGGACAAGAAUGUAAGCUUUAGUGGAGCAUUAGGACAAUUUGCCUUGGGGUGCUCUCAGAUGCAAGGCAAAGGCGUGACCUUUGCGUGAAGAACAGGGCGAAGUGUGAGCUAGAGGUGAGCUGAGCAAGCAGCAAUUCAUUUUUCUAUCAGGCCUAAAAAGGUAGAGUCACUGGUGGGCUCAGCCAGGGCUGUUUUUACAUAUAUUUUCUUGCAAACCAUCAUGGUUUUUUGGGCCUUCUCCAUCAAGGUAGAUGAGAGCAAGUAUUGUGAGGGGAACAAUAAAAAUGGAGUGAAUUCUGCCACUGCAUGGCGGACUGGGCUAUUGUAGCAUUUGUAUCCACGACCAUACCACUGGUUUAAAGAGUGUUGUUUUUGGCAGAGGUCUAAGGAUGAUAUGACUAAAAUGUUACCUACCACCUUCAUCUCCCACAGCAAAAUGGUGCAACACUUUGACUCUCAGGAGGCAUAGAGUUAACACAGCAUCAAGGCCCCUAGCUUCAUAGGGAACAGGUUGUUGUCCUCAUACUUAUGGGGUCAGCCUCAAGAACUUCCAAAAGAUUAUUAUAAAAUGUAAUGCCAUUAAAAAAACUUGUACUAUUUACAUGUUUGAUCCCUGUUUAGAGGUAACUGAAGUCUUCCCUGUGUAAAGGAUGCACAUGGAGGGGAAACUUUAGCACUUGUGUUUACUUUGGGGUCACCUUUGCUUAGAACAUACUUGCAAUUCGGAAGUCCUCGCUGGUCAUUUAUCACCCCCUUCAGUCUCUGCUACAUGGAGUCCUCCACCUCACACUGUUUCCAGCCAUAACAGCUUCACCUUGGUGGUCAUAUUUAACCCUUCUUUGCUAAAGUGAGUCGGGAGCAAAGUCUGUGAUGUGGCAAAGCCAGCGUGGUGUAGUGGUUAAGAGCAGGUGCACUCUAAUCUGGAGAACUGGGUUUGAUUCCCCGCUCUGCCACUUGAGCUGCGGAGG